rnacentral:rRNA from 1 species
UACGAAGGGGGCUAGCGUUGUUCGGAUAUACUGGGCGUAAAGCGCACGUAGGCGGCGCAGCAAGUCAGGGGUGAAAUCCCGGGGCUCAACCCCGGAACUGCCCUUGAAACUGCAGUGCUAGAAUCUUGGAGAGGCGAGUGGAAUUCCGAGUGUAGAGGUGAAAUUCGUAGAUAUUCGGAAGAACACCAGUGGCGAAGGCGACUCGCUGGACAAGUAUUGACGCUGAGGUGCGAAAGCGUGGGGAGCAAACAGG